rnacentral:rRNA from 1 species
GACGAACGCUGGCGGCGUGCUUAACACAUGCAAGUCGAACGGAAAGGCCCUGCUUGCCGGGUACUCGAGUGGCGAACGGGUGAGUAACACGUGGGGGAUCUGCCCUGCACUUCGGGAUAAGCCUGGGAAACUGGGUCUAAUACCGGAUAGGAGCCAUUUUUAGUGUGAUGGUUGGAAAGUUUUUUCGGUGUAGGAUGAGCUCGCGGGCUAUCAGCUUGUUGGUGGGGUAAUGGCCUACCACGGCGGCGACGGGUAGCCGGCCCGAGGGGGUGGACGGCCACCAUGGGACUGAGGUACGGCCCAGAAUGCUACGGGAGGCAACAGAGGGGAAUAUUGCACAAUGGGCGCAAGCCUGAUGCAGCGACUCCCCGUGGGGGAUGACGGGCUUCGGGUUGUAAACGCCUUUCGCUAGGGACGAAGCUUUUUGUGACGGUACCUAGAUAAGAAGCACCGGCUAACUACGUG